GAUGAACGCUGGCGGCGUGCCUAAUACAUGCAAGUCGAGCGAACAGACGAGGAGCUUGCUCCUCUGACGUUAGCGGCGGACGGGUGAGUAACACGUGGAUAACCUACCUAUAAGACUGGGAUAACUUCGGGAAACCGGAGCUAAUACCGGAUAAUAUAUUGAACCGCAUGGUUCAAUAGUGAAAGACGGUUUUGCUGUCACUUAUAGAUGGAUCCGCGCCGCAUUAGCUAGUUGGUAAGGUAACGGCUUACCAAGGCAACGAUGCGUAGCCGACCUGAGAGGGGGAUCGGCCAAACUGGAACUGAGACACGGUCCAGACUCCGAGGGGAGGCAGCAGGAGGGAAUAUUCCGCAAUGGGCGAAAGCCUGACCGAGCAAUGACGCGUGAGUGAAGAAGGUCUUCGGAUCGUAAAACUCUGUUAUUAGGGAAGAACAAAAGUGGAAGAAACUAUGCACGGCUUGAGGGUACCUAAUCAGAAAGCCAGGGCGAAGUUGGUG
rnacentral:rRNA from 1 species